UGUGUAUCUGAGGCCUUCUGAAGAAACAGAAGCCAACAGGAAUCCAGCACCAAUCUGGAUGACACAGAGUGAGUUAGUCUGCGGCUGUGAAGCCAGCUCCAGCUAUUGCUGAGACGUUAAGGAGGUGGUUCUUCACCAUGAUAUGCAUCAGUUUCUCUUUCUACAACAAGAUGUUCAGUAGUGGAGGCACCAGGACUACCGGAUACUGGAAGAGGUGGUUAUGAAUGACCUGCUAUUCCUUAUCAUUGCCUUUGGGGGUGCCACCAAGCUGGGCUGGAGGCAGCAGCAGCUGGUGUGUCUCAGUGGGAUCCUCAAAGUAAUGACUGUCAUUUGCUGGACGGGUGGAAAUCAUGGUGGUCCUCUGUGCAGUCACCACCUGGUCCCUGUCACACGCCACAGAGAUUGGUAUAAAUCAAACUCUCUCAGCAAUGGGGAUCUUGAGGAAAUAGAUAUUUUAAAGUGUGAGAAAGGAAGUGCCAGAGAUGUAGCUGUUACAGUCUGCUAGAAGAGCAAGGGGGUUAUCCCACUCCUUGGACUGAGUGCUGAGAGAAGUGGUCAGCAAGUGGGGACAUCUCAGUGACCAUGACAGGAGAAGUUCAAAUCAAGGGAAAGGUAGAGGGCAGGUCUUCCUGUACUGUGAAAGCAGAGUAUCGGUAUAAAUAGUGGCAGUGAGAUCUGAGCUGAAAUAACAGCUAGGUCUCUGCCUCUGAAGAUAAGACAGGUAUCACAUAAGUAGCAUGUAGGGAACAACCAUGUACACUCUUUCAGGAGAUGGGAUCUUUGAGCUCAGAAAUUAUUCAUCACACAUUUCAUUUUGAGUGAGUAAACUCUGAGAAGCAGGAGGAUCGAGGGUGAAAUCUCCACCAUUUCUGCCCAUGGCCAAGAUCUGCUCCUUCUCUUGUUCUCUGAGCCUAGCCUCCAAAGGUCUGCGUUUGUAAGGUUAGUCUCAGAACUGAUCUCAGCAGAGGAAGAGCAGGCUAUUGGCACUUAGAUGUUUAUGCCCCUUGGCCAUUGGGUUUUUCUUGUACCUGGUAUUAAGCAGAUCAUCCAGAAACUUUGUCUUUAUCUGAAAAAUAAAAAUAAUAAUAAAGCUGUUAAGG
ensembl:lncRNA